GAGCAAAAACUUCAUCUAUUUGUAAGGUUAAAAACUAGCGUGUCUGAUGAAAUAACCUGCAGUGACACGUGAAGUGUCAUAUGUACCUCAUGCUGAUAAAGAGGGAUCAGUUUUUUAAGGGUAGUAGUUGGAUGAAAUUUUUAAUA
rnacentral:pre_miRNA from 1 species